UGGUCAUUUUAAUAAAUAUCCUGUUGACAAAACUUUUAAUUAUUCGAAAAACUAAGGAUGUUUUUAUCCCAGGAAUAGAUUACCUUAGCCGUAUUAGGUACAAAUUCUUGGAAUUUUGGGUACACAAUGCUCUUCAACUUUGAACUUGCUUGGUGUCAUAACUAUUUUGACUGAGCGUCACUGAUGAGUCUUAUGUAGACGAAACGCGCGUCUGUCGUAUUAAAUUAUAAUCAUAGUACCUUUUAUGACUAUUUAGACCACUGGAUUAAUGCCAGUGCUGGUGGACGCUUCUUCACCCACCGAGGGUAUCACUAGCCCAAUAGUCAGCACUUCGGUGUUGACAGGAAUAUCAAUUAUAUGUUCAUUUUAAUAAAUUUUCUAGUGACAAAACUAUGAAUUAUAAUCCUGGUACAUUUGAUAACUAUUUGCUAAUAAGCCCACUUAAAUACGUAUCAUUAUAGUUGUUAUUUUGCUAGGUUGAAACUUCUGUCACCUAAAAAGUCACACACGCACAAAGGGUAGUGGCUGUAUUAAUUCAGUCUGGUGAUCUUUACCCUGUGUUGGUCGUUUUUGUCUACUUCUGAUGUAUUAUUUUCAAAAGAGUCAUAUAUAGAUUGCUGUAGAGUCUGUUUUGCUAUUUAGUUUUAGCUCACCUGGCCAUUAACGGCCAAUCGAACUUUUCUCAUCAUUUGACAGUCGUCGUCGUUAUCAUUUACAAAAUUACUGAACCUUAUUUUACAAAGCUAAUCAAUAAUAUUAUUAUUAUUGUGGUAUUUAGUUAAGAAAAUAGAUGUCCAAUGAACCCCCUAGCCGACCAAAAUGGCCGAUCCUCCUGAGAUAGAACAUAGAAAUGUUUGUUUUGUUUAUGUGAAUCUCUUGGUUUCAGUUUUUUACCGUAGACGGAUUCGUAUUUGCUUAACCGAGCUAUGACUAUUGAAUAGCGGUAUAUAACUAUUUCCCUCAUUUAAGGAAUCAUUACUGAUGUCUGAUCUGAAUUAUUUUGUCGCCCAAGGAAAGCAGCUCAGCCGAGAAAGAUAGUUCUUGUCCAAUAUUUCUCCUCAAGAUUUAUUGCUGAGCAUCGUUUAAAGUGCGAUCAAUCCUCGCUCAACAGAACCUACCCUGCGUGUAAAUGCAUUUACAAUAAUUUUAUCCUGAAUUAGACUGUAAUCUUAUUAUCGGCUAAUACAUUUUGUCGAAGUUUCGUCAGUAUUCCCUACAAAAAAUAGGGAAGUAUUUGCCACCCAAUUUAUAACCGAUCUUCAAAGGUUUCGGUACUUUGAGCGUUCCUGAUGAAGGUAAAUCCAGAAAAGCGCGUCGGACGCAUGGAAUUUAAACGUGUUGUUUCCAAUUUUUCAUAAGUUAUGACUUUAAUCAAAACAGGGUUUAUUAAAAAGACUGCUAAAUGUUUCCAUAAAAAUAGUUAUACAUGUAUGUCAAUUUUGGGGCCUUUUAUAUCUUGCUGUUCGAUGUGAGUCAGGGCUCAUGUUGAAGACCAUACUUUGACGUAUAAUGAUUUUACUAAUAGUGAUUUAGAUGGAGAGUUGUCUCAUUGGCACCCAUACCACAUCUUCUUUUGUCUAAUAUGUAUUUCAUCUUUGAACGUCGAAAAAAUCAGAAAGCAGUUGGUAUCGUAACCAUGACAAAAACAGAAGUACUCGUUUUUAUCGAUUUGUAUCUGUAGAGACCAUCAACAUCGGUUUGAAGUUAUGGGGUUUAAUUAAUUAAAAAAGGGGUGAAUUUUCAGCAGUUUCGUGAAACUUUGGUAAAUUGUUUAUUUCUAUUGACGUACAUGUAAGCUCCCUUUCGAUUUUUAUAAAUUUUCGAUUUUACGUUUCAGAGUUAUAUGAUUUCAUUCAUAAAAAGGAGAUAUAUCGCAGUUUUCGGACAAUGCUUUGAAUAGUUCUCAUUAAACUUGGGGGAUUGGUUUAUAUCUAUUAAGAUACCAUCCCUUUAGAUUUUCAUGAAUUUCUUAUACGACAGUGAUAAGUUAUUGAUCUUUAUUCUUUGAAAAAGGGACGGGCGUAUCAUGCUCUCAUGGCGUAGCUGUUUAUUCUCCUCAGUUGAAGUAUAUGAUAGACAGAUUUCAUAUCGGAUGUGUUACAUUUGGUGUCAUACGGCCGUCAACCUUUCACUUUUUGAACAGUCUACUUGAUACCAACUAAAAAGAAUCAACAUGGUUUUUUUUCCCUCUCGGUUGUUGAAGCAUAUAAUAAAAAGAUCAUAACAUGUUAUUUUUCAUAUCAGAUGUAUUAUCGGCCCUUGACAUGUGAUAAUCUGAUAUAGUAUUCAAUGUAAAGUUGUUAAAUAAUAUCCGAAUAAAUGGGUUAAAAUUUAAAAAAAAUCACAGGCAAAAUAAAUGAAGGUUUUGUAGAGAUAUAAUAUCUUAAAUAAAACGUUAUGAUUUAACGGAUUUGAACGAAACUAAGAAUUAUCUUUUCAGAUUGGACAUGUACACAUUAAAAGGG
rnacentral:lncRNA from 1 species